rnacentral:rRNA from 1 species
GACGAACGCUGGCGGCGCGCUUAACACAUGCAAGUCGAGCGAGAACCAUGGCUUCGGCCAUGGGGACAGCGGCGAACGGGUGAGUAACACGUGGGCAAUCUGCCCUCGGCACUGGGAUAGCCCGGGGAAACCCGGAUUAAUACCGGAUAGCCUCUCGAGCUCACGGGCUCGUGAGAAAAGAUGGCUUCGGCUUUCGGCUGAGGAGGAGCCUGCGGCGGAUUAGCNGUUGGCGGGGUAACGGCCCACCAAGGCGACGAUCUGUAGCUGGUCUGAGAGGACGAUCAGCCACACCGGGACUGAGACACGGCCCAGACUCCUACGGGAGGCAGCAGUGGGGAAUCUUGCGCAAUGGGCGAAAGCCUGACGCAGCGACGCCGCGUGAGGGAAGAAGG